GCCCGUUUGGCUUAGGGGUACAGCGUCUCACUCGUAGUAGAUCAUGAGAAGAUCCGCGGUUCGAUUCCGCGAAUGGGCA
rnacentral:tRNA from 1 species